GACGUAGGGCGCGAGCGUUGUCCGGAUUUAUUGGGCGUAAAGAGCUCGUAGGCGGCUUGUCGCGUCGUCCGUGAAAACCUGGGGCUCAACCCCGGGAGGCGGGUGGAUACUGUCGACCUCGAGUCCGGAAGAGGCGAGUGGAAUUCCUGGUGUAGCGGUGAAAUGCGCAGAUAAUCAGGAGGAACACCAAUGGCGAAGGCAGCUCGCUGGGACGGUACUGACGCUGAGACGCGAAAGCGUGGGGAGCAAACAGG
rnacentral:rRNA from 1 species